ensembl:snRNA U6 U6 spliceosomal RNA
GGGGCCAGCUUUGGCCCACACAUACUAAAACUGGACUGGAACAAUACAGAGAAUAUUAACAUAGCUCAUGCAUGAGGAUGAAGCUCAAAUUCACAAAGUGUUCUGUAUUUUA